AUGUGGACCUGUUUUCGUCAGCGCUAUGAGCCCUCUGGUGAUGCCUUAUACCUUUCUGUGGUUCGUCAGGAGCAUGCUCUUCAGCAGGGUGACUCUACUGUUGAUGACUUUUAUGCACAGAGUUCUGCUAUCUGGCGCCAGCUUGAUUCUCUCCGCAGUGCUGGUUGUCGUACUUGCCCCUGCUGCCAGGCUGUCCAGGCUGAUUUGGAGUUUCAUCGCGUCUACGAGUUCUUGUCUCGGCUCCGUAAGGAGUUUGAGCCCCGGCGUGCUCAGUUGCUUGCUCGUGGCCGUAUUUCUCUCAUGGAGGCACUUUCAGAGAUUCGUGCUGAGGAGACUCGCCUACGUGGUGCUGGUUUGCUGGAGGUUCCCUCUGUGCUCGCUACUCGGGUUUCUUCCACUCCACCUGCUGCAUCGCUUCAUUCUCGCUCGAGUGCUCCACCGCUCUUGCCCACUCCUUUUGGAGGCUUAGGUCGCCCCCGUUCACAUUGUGACUACUGCAAGAAUGAUGGUAUAUUGAGUCACAGUGCUACACCAAGCGGAAACACCUGCGCAAGGCGCGAUCAUCAGGGACUGCGUCAUCUCCCUCGCCAGCUUCAGCCAUUGCUUUGA
rnacentral:rRNA from 1 species